AAGUAAAAGAAUUCUUUCAGAGUCUGACAUUUUUAAAAAUGAAUUUACUAAGACCGUCUUACAAGUUACAAACCAAGGAAAAUUGUAACGAAGCAGGGUAACAAUGAGAAGAGCACAUCAUAGAAUGUACUGGAAUUAAACUGGAUGAGACUUGAAGAUAGAAGCCAUGUCACUGGUCUGCAAGACCUUUGAUGUGUCUUUUGCUGAAUUCCCUUAAUACCAGGCACUCGGUAUAAAGACGAACGUACAUCGCUGGUAUAGCGUUAGUGUAUGAUUUGGGAAUCAUUCCUUCACUUUUCAACAAUAGAUAAAACUAUAUUGAACUUUGUUUUGAUUUGGGUGGGGGAGUGAUUGCAUAUUAAAUAGUUGUCUAAUUAACGAGAGCUCACUUACUUGAUAUAAGAAAGAUCUAUGUUUAUAUACGGACAAAAUCUCUAUCUAGAUCUACACGCGAUCUAGAUCUAGAUCUCUAGCAGUAGUACAGAAGUUGUUAUUCGAAUGUAAACAACUGAACAAAAAAUAACACACACCAAUAACAUCGCAAGAUAACAAUGGCCGGAGAAAUUCCUUUAGGAGGUUAUCUCCACAUACCAUUGAAUAACGAAUGCAUUAAAUAAUACACAGCACGUCACGCUGUCCUUUGCACUUCAAAAACAAAACUACGAGGCGUCCAUCUGUGGCUAGGUGUGUCUGCAUCGCAUGUGUGUGUGUGUGUCUAGAGACCAGCUCGCGGGGAACACAGCAAAAGUAUUCAUUCUUGAGAUCAAUUAGAUCGGCGCAUGUCUGCCUGUGUGAUUCACUCGCCACUGGUGAUGAAUCGAUGAACACGCCCCACUAGCCCCGCCCCACCUUAAGUUUGAUUUCUAAACGAUUUGGUAUAUUGUUUGUUUUUGGUGUCAUUUUAUGUGAAUUAGAAGUCUGAAGGUGAUAUGUAUCAUUAUAGGUGAACUAAAGGUGUGGAGAUGAUAUGCAUCAUUAUAGAUUUAAGAUGAGUGUUUCACCCAGUUGUGACCAGCAUAUUUUGUGACAUCUAAAGCAGACAAACUAAUUGUCUGACAUGGGUCUCUAUAAGUUUUUUUCUGUGCCUAUCUUUUACAAGGGCUUUUCCUUAGGCCACAAAAGUGUGUCCUGCAGCCUUGAUGAGAGGAACAGUUUCAAUACAUUUUAAGCCAAAAUCAUAUAAUAUCAAAAGUGGAAAUCAAGUCUACUGAGCAAGACAGAUCAAGACAACAUUGGGUCUGCAUCUAAGCCUGUUGCUGGGGACCUUUAAGACCUCUGCCUAUCUGCAAAUAGCUAUGAAGGAAACUCAAAGCUCAAUAGUCCCAAACACUCCUAAAGAAGAGAGCAAUGUUAUAACCUUGCCUUGCAUACCACUAUUCAAGUUAGUGCAGAAGUUACGCUCCAAGUUGUGCAUUGUUAGGAACUAGGCUAGAGAUUAAUGUUUGAUGUUAGAGAGAAACAAUGGAGUUCAGCCCAAGUCUAGGCUUGUGAUGAAGCUAUGUGCUAGUGAUGUCCUGUAAAUAAACACCUGUCCUUGUU
rnacentral:sRNA from 1 species